rnacentral:rRNA from 1 species
CUGCUGCCUCCCGUAGGAGUCUGGGCCGUGUCUCAGUCCAGUGUGGGGGACCUUCCUCUCAGAACCCCUACGCAUCGUCGCCUCGGUGGGCCGUUACCCCGCCGACUAGCUAAUGCGCCGCAUGCCCAUCCCCCGCCGGAAUCGCUUCCUUUGGCCGCAGACCCAUGCAGGUCCGCGGCGUUACGCGGUAUUAGUCGGGAUUUCUCCCGGUUAUCCCCCUGCGGGGGGCAGGUCGCAUACGUGUUACUCACCCGUGCGCCGGUCGCCGG